rnacentral:antisense_RNA from 18 species
CUCAAUGGUAGCGCGUAAUGGGCAACCCUUAGCGGUUGGCUGCUUUCCUGUAAAGGCAGUUUGUCACCCCGUUACGUGCUACCGCCC